GUGGACGGGGCGGACGAUGAAAUCUGAACUCACGACGACGAUGUUGUGGAGGCCGGUGGGAGUGAGAAGACUGAGGCAAAGCCCCGGGCUGGGGGACAUGAGGACGAGGCGGCCCCAGUACCUGAGGUGGAGGUGGAGGAGGAGGC
rnacentral:lncRNA from 1 species